GGCUCUGUUUGGAAAAGUGCUGAGCAACUCAGAUUCAAAGAGGUCGCCAGAAAACUAGGUGAUGCUCUUGGAAUCGAGCACAAAGUCGGGAUGAGGCAAUGGUUAAGGCAGUGACUCUCAGAUUUACCAUUAAUAAGCUGCGGGCAAGGAACUCUAGACCCAGGAGGAACUCAGACAACAGGAGACAAAACUGCCUGAACAGCAGCACUGCAGUGACUUUUGGCAACAGCAUUCUGCUACAUACUCUUGCUCUGGAGCCACAUCCAAGAGAGAUUGCUGGGUUCAAUGAAGAUUAGGAGGAGUGGAACGCAAUGCAGGCUGUGUGCUGGAAAGUUCUGGAAGGAGGUCCCUGAAGGAUGGCUCAGUGCGACAAUGUAGACUUCCAAAUAGAUUUAAAGAUUACCUCAGUCAAUGGACGUGUUCUUAGCUGCUUUGUAUCCAACAGUCCGAAGUCCAGUCUGAAAUGCAGCCCCUUUUCUCUACCUGCUAGGGUGCAGCACUGCCAGCUCUGGGAUCAUGUUUUCAUCACGUCCAUGAAAACAACAUCACACAGAGGGGAUAUGCUGAGUAACAACAACCCAUUUCUGUCCUCAUAACAAGGAAUACGUCUGCAUCAAACUAGUAACCAGCAAUGUAAAUUGUCUCAUCAGUUCCUUUUCCACUUGGUCCAAGGAAAAUUCAGAUAGAAGCACUUAAGACAAUUGCUUUGUGCAGAUAACAAAAAAGAACUUUCAUUACUCCUGGAUCAAGGAGGAUGGAUGGAAGAAAUGAAUGUAGGAGAUUUUCCUUCUUUGGAAGUUUUGUUCCUCUCUCUGAAACACAAGUCAUAUCCUGAUAAGGAAGACAAGCUUUACUGCUGCUUUAUGAAGGACUCAUUCCCACACGUACAGAGCAUCUCCUCUCCUGUGAUGGAUGAAGAAAUGUAUCAGAUAUGCCUGAUUUGAAAUCUCAUCAUGACUCUGGCAGUCACUACAAGAGUGUUACUUCUGGUGUUCAUCGCCUUACGGAGUGGAGUUAACAGAUAGCAACAAGAUAAAAAGAAAUGUUGGCCCUUUAAAAAAUGAGGGAAUUUUGCUACUGAUUCGACUGGAGUCAGGGUUUCAGCUUGUGUAUUUAACCUACUGAAUGCCCUAAACUGCACUGCAGAGCAGGUGCUUUCCUGUCUCUCGAGUGGCUAAUGUCCUCAGAUUUUACAGAUCCCUGCAGGACUUUAAUUCCUGAUCCCUGCUUGUCACAUGUUCUAUAAGCUACUCUCCUUGAAAACUGCUUUGAAAAUAGGUGUUCUCUGCACACAGGUGUUGGAUUGAUGCAUAGCCUGAGCUGGUCAUCUGGUCCUGUUGUGGUAGGGGCUGUUUAUUCAUUACUGAUUAAAUCAAGCAUCAGGCUUGACAGCAAAGUCUACUUAUAAUUUGAGCCUCCAGAAAAAGAAACUGGAAUUUAAUUGUAUUACAAGUUUGCCUUAGAAUCAUUUCAUUCAGAUUCAUGACCCUGCACUCAUGUAUAAGAUAUUCAAAAGAUUAAUCUUAUUUUAAAUGACAGGUGAAAGUCUUCGAAUCAGGCAUAUGGUACGUAUCUAUCUGUGCAGCAAGUCUCCAAAUGGAUUAUUCCUAGAUAAUUAACAGAUUUCAAAGUACUGACUCAGUGAUAAUAAUUCAUUCCAGAGUUCAGAUACAUACUUGAUUGACUUUAAUUUAAAUAUGUUAAAUUAAUAAUAAUAAUAAUAAAUUAUGUAAUUCAGGCAUUGUAAGAGCUUAAAAGCAAAUGUCAGUUUGUGCUGCACCUCCCAGCAGAUUAGUUUUCUAAUAUAUCUGUUUUCUAAUGAAACUGCAGUGGUGAAGCUGUAAUUUGGGUUUUGUGCCAAAUGUUCUUACUCCUAUUUACAUCAAAAGCUUCAGCUGAAACUGACACGUAUUAGAAAUUUUCAAAACACAUGCCAGAUUUAUACAGCACACAGAGAGAACGAGACAUUUUUAAUUCAAGAUGGUGAUUUCCGCUCAUCAGAAGUCCAUCUCAGUCAUUUCAUCCCAAUGAGCUUCUUUUAAUAAAUACCAAUAACUGUACAAAUUGUUUAAUACACAUCUUGCCAUCUUGUGCCGUGUAUUUUAUUCAACAGAAAAGCAAGAUGUGGUACUGGAGCACAUCCUUCUAGUGGCAGUAAUGUGGAGGUCUGCUCUGUGCCACUGACUGAUGCUGAACAUGGUGCGGAUGCAGACCGCAGGCAGUACUCCUGGAGGUGUUCAUAGAAUCAUAGAAUGGCCUGGGUUGAAAAGGACCACAAUGACCAUCUAGCUUCAACACUGCUCCUCUAACAUUUCUCCCUUUGAAUGCCAGGAUACACCUUUGAAUGAAACAGCAAGCUUCUCUGUUACUGCUGCCCUACUUUAUUCCUUACCAUUCCUUUUACCCUACACCCACUCCUACUUGCUAGUUCAGAGCAGUCUUUGAGUGCACGUGCCCUCUGUUUGUAGCAGGCCCUUUUUGGCAAAUUGGAUGACUUGUUGGUAAGUGCCCUAUAUGGCUUUUUGGAAAGAAUUUUAAUUGUUGACAAGGGUAAAGGGCUGAUUGAUAUCUGAGGUAGAGAAAGCCUCCACAAUUUAUCUUAAAAAAAAAAAAAAAGCCUCAGGGCUAGAUUUUUUGAUAAAGGGAAAGAAAUGUUACAAAAAAUUAUGAUACCCACAUUUAUGCAUUUAGACAAUCUUGAGUCUGAAUAGUCAAAAAUUCACAGAGGAAAAGAAAUUCAAAAAAUUGUUUUCAUUAAUAACAGGAACUUCACAGAAUCACAGAAUGGCCAGGGUUGGAUGGAACCUCAAGGAUCAUGAAUCUCCAAACCCAAUGCCACAUUCAAUGAUUUUUCUGUAUGAUUCUAACUCCAGAAACUCAGCUCCCUGUAUGGCCCUAAAUAUUUCAGGAAUGGUCAGAAACAAAUCAAUUAAAAUAGGAAUUUUCUGUCAUGAGAAAAUGGGUAUUUUCCUCAGAAUUCUGAAUGAAUGGGGCUGUUCCUGACCUUAUCGAUGCUAUGGUGAGUGUAAAGAAACUAUAGUGAAGACACUGAGUUACAUUUACAUUCAUUCAAAAUCAGAGGGAGGUCAGAAUCAGUAAUAAUAUAUAUCUUUAUUUUAGAAAAGAUUGCCAAUAUACAGUUACAACGUUCUAUCAGAACUUAACCUUGAUCUCGUAUCUCUAGUGAUUAGUCCAAUAGUUCACUUAUCACAAAGAAAGUUAUUUAAUAUUAUGUUCACUAAAAAUAGGUCUGAGGUCUCAUGACCUUAGAUUUAACUGCUCCUCAGGUGGUGAAAUGACAGACUUCUCUGCCAUUAUGUCACGAUUGAGCCAUUACUCUCCAUAAGUAAACUUAUACGUAUAAAUACGUGUAGCUAGCUCCAAAAGUAAUGCCUCCUAUUUAUUUCCACGGAAACUCAAAUAGAUGAAAAGAGCACAACAUUAUUUGAUAGAGCAAAUUCUCAACUGCAAACCACUGUUUUUCAACACAGUCAUCAGCAUUAGCCGAUUCAUAUGGAUGAGCUGAUGAAGAUUCUCUUCAUUUUGUGGUGUGACAGCUGUGCAUGGCCAUCCAGAAUGUCUUUCUCAUUGCUGUCACCACUCCUGAAACGCAACAACUACCACCUCACUGUGCUCACGUUCACUGUUUGGUCUCCACAAAUGUUCAGCAAGUAUCAAUGCAUGUCAAUGGGUGCCAUAUUUUUUUUUCCACAUGGAGGAAUUCAGUGACACACCUUUGCUAAAUACACAUUUCCAUGUCAGACAUCAUUGUGUCUGAGUGCCCCUCUGCUGUCAUCUGUCACACGGCAACAGCGUGUAAUGGAAUAUUGGCAGAAAGGUUCAGCCUCUACUGCCAUCCCACCAACGUCCACCUCUGACAUUAUGGGUCAACGUCAUAUUACAGGAGACAGUACUUUUGGAGCUGCCCUUGUAUAUUUAUACACAUAUUUUAAGGUGCUCAGUACCUUUAAAGGUAUCACUGCUGUCACAUACCUGUGUUUUCCUGUCUUUUUGCCCUACCUGCAUA